AUACGUAGGUGGCGAGCGUUAUCCGGAUUUACUGGGUGUAAAGGGUGUGUAGGCGGGUUGUUAAGUCAGAUGUGAAAUGCCGUGGCUUAACCACGGCACUGCAUCAGAAACUGGCAAUCUUGAGGGUGGGAGAGGUAAGCGGAAUUCCUGGUGUAGCGGUGAAAUGCGUAGAUAUCAGGAGGAACACCGGUGGCGAAGGCGGCUUACUGGACCACAACUGACGCUGAUACACGAAAGCGUGGGGAGC
rnacentral:rRNA from 1 species